rnacentral:rRNA from 1 species
CCUACGGGUGGCAGCAGUGAGGAAUAUUUGUCAAUGGACGCAAGUCUGAACCAGCCAUGCCGCGUGCAGGAAGACGGCUCUAUGAGUUGUCAACUUCUUUUGUACGAGGGUAAACGCAGAUACGUGUAUCUUUCUGAAAGUAUCGUACGAAUAAGGAUCGGCUAACUCCGUGCCAGCAGCCGCGGUAAUACGGAGGAUUCAAGCGAUAUCCUGAUUUAUUGGGUUUAAAGGGUGCGUAGGCGGUCGGAUACGUUAGAGGUGAAAUCCCGAGGCUCAACUUCGGAAUUGCCUCUGAUACUGUUCGGCUAGAGAGUAGUUGCGGUAGGCGGAAGGUAUGGUGUAGCGGUGAAAUGCUGAGAGAUCAGACAGAACACCGAUUGCGAAGGCAGCUUACCAAGCUACUUCUGACGUUGAGGCACGAAAGCGUGGGGAGCAAACAGGAUUAGAUACCCUUGUAGUC